AAAAAUAUAAAAUGCCAAAAGAUUCAUUUGGGGGCUUGUUAUUGUUUUUGAUUAGGUGGAAGGAGACCUGGAUGUUCUCAGCACACCAGGGUUGAGGCAGGCCUAGCUGCAGGCACCAGGAGGACUGGAUACAUCACAGAGCCAAAAGGGAUAAGAGUUCAGAAGAGGCAGAUCAGUCAUGUGACUGCGUCGGAGUCGGAGCACCUAUAUAGCUUUGGUCACCUGAGUACCUUACAGUCCUGCAUGGAAAGCCCUGCCAGCCCCUCCACUCGCACCAAGUCAAACUUCACCCAAAGGAAGAAGCAAGCGGCGGGAGAGAAAGGAAGAAAGGAAGGCCCCGAGAGGCUCCGGCUACUCCAAUCAGGUCACUGUUUCCCUACC